UUCCUUUAAAUAUGUGGCUUUUCAGCAGGACAGUGGCCAUGGAAAUUGGAAUCUGCCAAGGAGUUAUGUAACAACUCACCUGCUGAAUCAACUAGCACUGAAAAUAGAUGGCAUUGGA
rnacentral:ncRNA from 1 species